CCUACGGGACGCACCAGUGGGGAAUAUUGGACAAUGGGCGAAAGCCUGAUCCAGCAAUGCCGCGUGUGUGAAGAAGGUCUUCGGAUUGUAAACUCCUUUGAUCAGGGAGGAGUUUUUGACGGUACCUGAAGAACAAGCACCGGCUAACUACGUGCCAGCAGCCGCGGUAAUACGUAGGGUGCAAGCGUUAUCCGGAUUUACUGGGUGUAAAGGGCGAGUAGGCGGGACUUCAAGUCAGAUGUGAAAUACCAGGGCUCAACCCUGGGGCUGCAUUUGAAACUGUAGUUCUUGAGUGAUGGAGAGGCAGGCGGAAUUCCUAGUGUAGCGGUGAAAUGCGUAGAUAUUAGGAGGAACACCAGUGGCGAAGGCGGCCUGCUGGACAUUAACUGACGCUGAGGAGCGAAAGCGUGGGGAGCAAACAGGAUUAGAUACCCGUGUAGUC
rnacentral:rRNA from 1 species